UACGGAGGAUGCGAGCGUUAUCCGGAUUCAUUGGGUUUAAAGGGUGCGCAGGCGGCCUGCCAAGUCAGCGGUGAAAGCCCGGGGCCCAACCCCGGAAGUGCCGUUGAUACUGGUGGGCUGGAAUGCGGUCGAGGCGGGCCGAACGUGGCGUGUAGCGGUGAAAUGCGUAGAUAUGCCACAGAACGCCGAUAGCGAAGGCAGCUCGCCAGGCCUGCAUUGACGCUCGGACACGAAAGCGUGGGGAGCAAAC
rnacentral:rRNA from 1 species